AUUGAACGCUGGCGGCAGGCCUAACACAUGCAAGUCGAGCGGAUGAAGGGAGCUUGCUCCUGGAUUCAGCGGCGGACGGGUGAGUAAUUCCUAGGAAUCUGCCUGGUAGUGGGGGAUAACGUCCUGAAACGGGCGCUAAUACCGCAUACGUCCUGAGGGCGAAAGGGGGGGAUCUUGGGACCUCCCGCUAUCGGAUGAGCCUAGGUCGGAUUAGCUAGUUGGUGGGGUAAAGGCGUACCAAGGCGACGAUCCGUAACUGGUCUGAGAGGAUGAUCAGUCACACUGGAACUGAGACACGGUCCAGACUCCUACGGGAGGCAGCAGUGGGGAAUAUUGGACAAUGGGCGCAAGCCUGAUCCAGCCAUGCCGCGUGUGUGAAGAAGGUCUUCGGAUUGUAAAGCCCUUUAAGCUGGGAGGAAGAGCAGUAAGUUAAUACCUUGCUGUUUUGACGUUACCAACAGAAUAAGCACCGGCUAACUUCGUG
rnacentral:rRNA from 1 species